AUUGAACGCUGGCGGCAUGCCUUACACAUGCAAGUCGAACGGUAACGGGCCUUCGGGUGCCGACGAGUGGCGAACGGGUGAGUAAUGUAUCGGAACGUACCUUUCAGUGGGGGAUAACGUAGCGAAAGUUACGCUAAUACCGCAUAUUCUGUGAGCAGGAAAGCAGGGGAUCGCAAGACCUUGCGCUGAUUGAGCGGCCGAUAUCAGAUUAGCUAGUUGGUGAGGUAAAGGCUCACCAAGGCGACGAUCUGUAGCGGGUCUGAGAGGAUGAUCCGCCACACUGGAACUGAGACACGGUCCAGACUCCUACGGGAGGCAGCAGUGGGGAAUUUUGGACAAUGGGGGGCAACCCUGAUCCAGCCAUGCCGCGUGAGUGAAGAAGGCCUCGG
rnacentral:rRNA from 1 species